rnacentral:rRNA from 1 species
UUACAGGCUUAACACAUGCAAGUCGAGGGGCAUCAGGAAGAAAGCUUGCUUUCUUUGCUGGCGACCGGCGCACGGGUGAGUAACACGUAUCCAACCUGCCCUUUACUCGGGGAUAGCCUUUCGAAAGAAAGAUUAAUACCCGAUAGCAUAAUGAUUCCGCAUGGUUUCAUUAUUAAAGGAUUCCGGUAAAGGAUGGGGAUGCGUUCCAUUAGGUUGUUGGUGAGGUAACGGCCCACCAAGCCUUCGAUGGAUAGGGGUUCUGAGAGGAAGGUCCCCCACAUUGGAACUGAGACACGGUCCAAACUCCUACGGGAGGCAGCAGUGAGGAAUAUUGGUCAAUGGGCGCUAGCCUGAACCAGCCAAGUAGCGUGAAGGAUGAAGGCUCUAUGGGUCGUAAACUUCUUUUAUAUAAGAAUAAAGUGCAGUAUGUAUACUGUUUUGUAUGUAUUAUAUGAAUAAGGAUCGGCUAACUCCGUGCCAGCAGCCGCGGUAAUACGGAGGAUCCGAGCGUUAUCCGGAUUUAUUGGGUUUAAAGGGAGCGUAGGUGGACUGGUAAGUCAGUUGUGAAAGUUUGCGGCUCAACCGUAAAAUUGCAGUUGAUACUGUCAGUCUUGAGUACAGUAGAGGUGGGCGGAAUUCGUGGUGUAGCGGUGAAAUGCUUAGAUAUCACGAAGAACUCCGAUUGCGAAGGCAGCUCACUGGACUGCAACUGACACUGAUGCUCGAAAGUGUGGGUAUCAAACAGGAUUAGAUACCCUGGUAGUCCACACAGUAAACGAUGAAUACUCGCUGUUUGCGAUAUACAGUAAGCGGCCAAGCGAAAGCAUUAAGUAUUCCACCUGGGGAGUACGCCGGCAACGGUGAAACUCAAAGGAAUUGACGGGGGCCCGCACAAGCGGAGGAACAUGUGGUUUAAUUCGAUGAUACGCGAGGAACCUUACCCGGGCUUAAAUUGCAGUGGAAUGAUGUGGAAACAUGUCAGUGAGCAAUCACCGCUGUGAAGGUGCUGCAUGGUUGUCGUCAGCUCGUGCCGUGAGGUGUCGGCUUAAGUGCCAUAACGAGCGCAACCCUUAUCUUUAGUUACUAACAGGUUAUGCUGAGGACUCUAGAGAGACUGCCGUCGUAAGAUGUGAGGAAGGUGGGGAUGACGUCAAAUCAGCACGGCCCUUACGUCCGGGGCUACACACGUGUUACAAUGGGGGGUACAGAAGGCAGCUAGCGGGUGACCGUAUGCUAAUCCCAAAAUCCUCUCUCAGUUCGGAUCGAAGUCUGCAACCCGACUUCGUGAAGCUGGAUUCGCUAGUAAUCGCGCAUCAGCCACGGCGCGGUGAAUACGUUCCCGGGCCUUGUACACACCGCCCGUCAAGCCAUGGGAGCCGGGGGUACCUGAAGUACGUAACCGCAAGGAUCGUCCUAGGGUAAAACUGGUGACUGGGGCUAAG